AAAGGAAUAGACGGGGGCCCGCACAAGCAGUGGAGUAUGUGGUUUAAUUCGAAGCAACGCGAAGAACCUUACCAGGGCUUGACAUCCUCAGAACCUCUGUGAGAACAGAGGGUGCCUUCGGGAACUGAGUGACAGGUGGUGCAUGGUUGUCGUCAGCUCGUGUCGUGAGAUGUUGGGUUAAGUCCCGCAACGAGCGCAACCCUUAUUAUUAGUUGCUAACAUUCAGUUGAGCACUCUAAUGAGACUGCCGUUGACAAAACGGAGGAAGGUGGGGACGACGUCAAAUCAUCAUGCCCCUUAUGUCCUGGGCUACACACGUACUACAAUGGCCGUUAACAAUGGGAAGCCAAGCCGCGAGGUGGAGCAAAUCCCCAAAAACGGUCCCAGUUCGGAUUGCAGGCUGAAACUCGCCUGUAUGAAGUUGGAAUUGCUAGUAAUCGCGAAUCAGAAUGUCGCGGUGAAUACGUUCCCGGGCCUUGUACACACCGCCCGU
rnacentral:rRNA from 1 species